rnacentral:lncRNA from 1 species
GGACAGGGCAGCUUAGGGGAAUAAGUCUCUGCAGCGUUGUAGUGAAGAGAGAAUACGGGACAACUGCAGGACCACAGCUCAGCCAAGAGCUCCCUUGCAGCUGAGUUGGCCAUAUGACUGACAGCAAGCCCUGGAAUGCAGCCAGAAGUGAUAGAAGCCUCUUUCACACCAUGCUCCUAAAAUAUUCCAAGAAAUUUUCCAAACCUACUCUUUUUAGUCUGUGCAUCUGGAAGUGAAAGUUUUAGAAAGGGUAAAGUCACUUAAUGGAAAGGGCCCAGAUCUAGCCCCUCGGAGCCAAGCUGUCCAACUAGAAAUUCUGCAUUAGUAUUUGCGACCCCAGUAAAAAAAAAAAAGUCCCACAAAGAUGUAGGAUCUCACUUUGCCUGCGUUAAUUCCCUGUCCUUUGCCCAGUUUCUCCUCUCUUGGAAGGCAGAGGCAGCUUCUGAUUUUGAUCACUUCAUGUCCAGAUCUUUGGAGAGAAAAUGCCAAGAGUGGAUGGAGAGGCAAUGGUGAAGCUGAGGCUGAAGUCGGAGGAAGCUGUGAACCCUGCAUGGGGUACCUGAACACCAGGGCAAGUUUCUGGCCCAGAAUGGCUUCUGGGAAAGGGGCCCUCAACAGAUUGGAAGAUGCCCAGGCAGUUGGGGAUGGCAAUCUGCUUUCUCAAUCUACUGAUUCAAAUGCUAAUCUCAUCCAGAAACAUCCUCACAGACAUACCCAGAAAUGAUCUUUAAUCUGGGCCAGUGAAAUUGACAUAUGAAAUUUAACCAUUACAAUAUCUCACCAGUGUCCUCAUUAAUUGAUGAGUUAAAUAAAAUCUUUGACAUGUGUGCAUUUUA